AUUUGAGGGGCCUCUCCUUUGAUGAGAGGACUUCUUCCGGUUGAUGAAUCUUCGGAAUUUUCUUACAAGGAGUGCCUCAUCAUCAUCUCCCUCAUUGUCUUCCUCUUCACUGCUACUGCUGCAAGACACAUCUUUGUUAGUGGAAACAGAUUUUAGUGCUAUUACCUUUUUCUUGUGAGAGGACUCUUCUUCAUUGUGUUGUUUCAUCGUUAGCUCAUGCGUCAUGAGGGAUCCAAGUAGCUCCUCGAGUGGCAGCUUG
rnacentral:lncRNA from 1 species